rnacentral:rRNA from 1 species
GGACUGAGACACGGCCCAGACUCCUACGGGAGGCAGCAGUGGGGAAUAUUGCACAAUGGGGGAAACCCUGAUGCAGCGACGCCGCGUGGAGGAAGAAGGUCUUCGGAUUGUAAACUCCUGUUGUUGAGGAAGAUAAUGACGGUACUCAACAAGGAAGUGACGGCUAACUACGUGCCAGCAGCCGCGGUAAAACGUAGGUCACAAGCGUUGUCCGGAAUUACUGGGUGUAAAGGGAGCGCAGGCGGGAAGACAAGUUGGAAGUGAAAUCUAUGGGCUCAACCCAUAAACUGCUUUCAAAACUGUUUUUCUUGAGUAGUGCAGAGGUAGGCGGAAUUCCCGGUGUAGCGGUGGAAUGCGUAGAUAUCGGGAGGAACACCAGUGGCGAAGGCGGCCUACUGGGCACCAACUGACGCUGAGGCUCGAAAGUGUGGGUAGCAAACAGGAUUAGAUACCCUGGUAGUCCACACCGUAAACGAUGAUUACUAGGUGUUGGAGGAUUGACCCCUUCAGUGCCGCAGUUAACACAAUAAGUAAUCCACCUGGGGAGUACGACCGCAAGGUUGAAACUCAAAGGAAUUGACGGGGGCCCGCACAAGCAGUGGAGUAUGUGGUUUAAUUCGACGCAACGCGAAGAACCUUACCAAGUCUUGACAUCCUGCGACGAUGCUAGAAAUAGUAUUUUCCUUCGGGACGCAGAGACAGGUGGUGCAUGGUUGUCGUCAGCUCGUGUCGUGAGAUGUUGGGUUAAGUCCCGCAACGAGCGCAACCC